rnacentral:rRNA from 1 species
UGCAAGUCGAGGGGUAGAGUAGCAAUACUUGAGACCGGCGCACGGGUGCGUAACGCGUAUGCAAUCUACCUUUUACAGAGGGAUAGCCCAGAGAAAUUUGGAUUAAUACCUCAUAGUAUAGCAGUUUCGCAUGAAACCACUAUUAAAGUCACAACGGUAAAAGAUGAGCAUGCGUCCCAUUAGCUAGUUGGUAAGGUAACGGCUUACCAAGGCUACGAUGGGUAGGGGUCCUGAGAGGGAGAUCCCCCACACUGGUACUGAGACACGGACCAGACUCCUACGGGAGGCAGCAGUGAGGAAUAUUGGACAAUGGGCGCAAGCCUGAUCCAGCCAUGCCGCGUGCAGGAUGACGGUCCUAUGGAUUGUAAACUGCUUUUGUACGAGAAGAAACACUCCUAUGUAUAGGAGCUUGACGGUAUCGUAAGAAUAAGGAUCGGCUAACUCCGUGCCAGCAGCCGCGGUAAUACGGAGGAUCCAAGCGUUAUCCGGAAUCAUUGGGUUUAAAGGGUCCGUAGGCGGUUUAAUAAGUCAGUGGUGAAAGCCCAUCGCUCAACGGUGGAACGGCCAUUGAUACUGUUAAACUUGAAUUAUUAGGAAGUAACUAGAAUAUGUAGUGUAGCGGUGAAAUGCUUAGAGAUUACAUGGAAUACCAAUUGCGAAGGCAGGUUACUACUAAUUGAUUGACGCUGAUGGACGAAAGCGUGGGUAGCGAACAGGAUUAGAUACCCUGGUAGUCCACGCCGUAAACGAUGGAUACUAGCUGUUGGGAGCAAUCUCAGUGGCUAAGCGAAAGUGAUAAGUAUCCCACCUGGGGAGUACGUUCGCAAGAAUGAAACUCAAAGGAAUUGACGGGGGCCCGCACAAGCGGUGGAGCAUGUGGUUUAAUUCGAUGAUACGCGAGGAACCUUACCAAGGCUUAAAUGUAGAUUGACCGGUUUGGAA